AACGAACGCUGGCGGCAUGCCUAACACAUGCAAGUCGAACGAGACCUUCGGGUCUAGUGGCGCACGGGUGCGUAACGCGUGGGAACCUGCCCUUAGGUUCGGAAUAACUCCCCGAAAGGGGUGCUAAUACCGGAUAAUGUCUUCGGACCAAAGAUUUGUCGCCUUUGGAUGGGCCCGCGUUGGAUUAGCUAGUUGGUAGGGUAAAAGCCUACCAAGGCGACGAUCCAUAGCUGGUCUGAGAGGAUGAUCAGCCACACUGGGACUGAGACACGGCCCAGACUCCUACGGGAAGCAGCAGUGGGGAAUAUUGGACAGUGGGCGAAAGCCUGAUCCAGCAAUGCCGCGUGAGUGAUGAAGGCCUUAGGGUUGUAAAGCUCUUUUACCCGGGAUGAUAAUGACAGUACCGGGAGAAUAAGCACCGGCUAACUCCGUG
rnacentral:rRNA from 1 species